rnacentral:lncRNA from 1 species
AAUCAUUGGUGGACCCCACAACGGAAUUAUUGUUGGAUUAAGAAAACGACAAAAAUAUUUUUAUGAAAAUAACGGCGGAGGUGUUACCGUUAAAACUGUUGAACUACUCGGUAGUAAAAGUACAGUAAUACACGUGGUUGCAUAGUAGCAUACGGUAUUGAUUAUUGAUGUUUACGUGAAAAGUCACUCAGAUAUACUCAAUUAUUGCUACAGUAAUUGCUGCAUCAUAUCUCUCAUAUUAUUGAUUCAAUUAUUGUUACAGUAUCAUCUGCAUAAUAUGAUAUAUUAUUAAAUCAAUAAUUGAG